rnacentral:sRNA from 1 species
AAGGCCUCAGGCGAUUCAGCUCGACCAGUUCUUCUACAAGUUGCAGAGUCGGCCUACAGGUUUGGUCUGGGUUCUGUUGCUGGAGCUGUUGGAGCCACUGCUGUGUAUCCUAUCGAUCUUGUAAAAACUCGAAUGCAGAACCAACGAUCAACUGGCUCUUUUGUGGGAGAACUCAUGUAUAAAAACAGCUUUGACUGUUUUAAGAAAGUGCUACGCUAUGAAGGUUUCUUUGGACUGUAUAGAGGUCUGUUGCCACAGUUAUUGGGAGUUGCCCCAGAGAAGGCCAUAAAACUUACAGUGAACGAUUUUGUGAGGGAUAAAUUUAUGCACAAAGAUGGUUCGGUCCCACUUGCAGCAGAAAUUCUUGCUGGAGGCUGCGCUUGUAGUUGUGGGAGUUCUGACGGAGACCUGGACCUUCAGUCUUCCUUGCAUGAGGCUGGAGGCUCCCAGGUGAUUUUCACAAAUCCUUUAGAAAUCGUCAAGAUCCGUUUGCAAGUGGCUGGAGAAAUCACCACUGGUCCUCGAGUCAGUGCUCUGUCUGUCGUGCGGGACCUGGGGUUCUUUGGGAUCUACAAGGU